rnacentral:lncRNA from 1 species
UUUAAUUGUUUCAUUUUGCUGCUUUGAGUCUUUUGUUGUUUUAAAAGUUAUGCACUAAAUUGUUGUUAAAUGUCACCCACCCCUAUUUGCAGAGUGAAGUUAUGACGUAUUAUUGUAUCUGAUGUAUCUGAUUACUAUCUUAAAACCCUCUUUGAGUGCAUUUUAUUUUUGCAUUUGCACAUUUCAGUGUCUGAACAUUCAGUUUUUCCCAGUUUUGAUUCUUGUGUAAAUGCAUUUCUAUUAGUUCUGUGCAUUUACGAAGUCUUUGCAAUCUAUAUGCAUCCUUUGUUGGUGUGUAUGUGCCGUUUGGAGAGUAGUGAGCGAGAGGAAGGCAGGUCCUGUUUUGCCUGUUAUCUCAUGACCUGAACCGGCUGCCAAAAGCAGCGUUAUGCAAAAGGCUGAGAGGAAAAAGAGAGACUGGGAAGGUACAGUUUUGACGUCAGAGGCACCCACAUGUGUAAGAAUUGGCUAAUAUCUGGUAAUUAGCUGGAAUGUUCUGCUUUAUUGUACGUUUCACCUCUGUCAGCUCUCCGAACGCGCCUCUUUGUUUUCUAGUGUGUUACUUUUUCUUGCUUGGGAAAGUGAUUCUUUUAAAAGCUUUCAGGCUCCUCGAGGGGUGAAAGUAGUACAUUAGCGCUGAUGUUUCCAGUGUUUCAUCUGUCAAAAUAAAAUGAGAAGAAAGGGGAGAGGCUGUCUGUCUCUCUUUUUCCUGGAUGGCUCUCCAGGUUUUGCAUCGCCACCCUCCAAAGCAUUAUUUAAAGAUCUAUUCAUUUUUACUGGCAGUUCGAUUGGAGUUUAAAAGCUUCACAUCAAUGAAGAGGGUGGAUGCCAGCCGUUCCCUCACCAUCCUGUUGCAUGCUUUCAGAAGUCUCUACAGCCUCUGGCAGGACAUUUCCAGAUGGACUUCCCAGUAAAGAACAGCCACUAGAACUUCUGAAGCCAUCUGGAGUCAAUCACAUUCCUUCUGGAUCUGGAGUAGCAGUGGAUUGCUGGCUAGCCACAAACACAUUGGUUAGUCGGAUGUGGUUUCCCUCUGCUCUUGCUAAAAGAGACGAGACAGACCAUGGCAUCUGUGUACAGACAUGUUGGCCUGGUCAGAGAGCCAUACACAGACCGCUGGAGUCUGAGGACUCUGGUACCACACUGGAGCUGAGAAACGUGGUCAUGUCCAUGUUGAACACACAGUAUCUCUGAAGGAUUCACAUUGUUUCAUUUCUGAGAAGUACAGCUGGGCGUGUAGGUUUUUUCUUGGCUAGAGUUUGAAAUCUGGGACUUUUAUAGUAACUCCUGUAGUAAAGGAAGAAGGUGGAAAGUAUUUAAGACGAAAAUAAAGAAUAAAAGAAAACAAGGAAUAAGGAAGGGAAGGAUGAAGUUUGAAGCGUGCUACAGUAGACUAGGCAGGAAUGAGGAAAACAUGAAAAAAUACAAAGGAAAGUGAAAAACAGGCAUUGUUUAAGGAAAGAGAGAUCGAAAUAAAGGCAAGAAAUGUAGGAAAGAUGUUAAGCACAUUUUCUAUUCAUAGUCUGAGGCUGAACUGGACUUGAAGGACUUUAGGGGUUUUGUGUGGGAUUUGUUUGUCUUGAUAACCUGUUUAGACCCUGUCUAGGCAGCUUCAGCUGGUUCAGGCUCAUGUAGGACCGGGUUUAGGACUGGGGCUGUGGAUCAGGAAACAGAUGGUGCUGAAAGUCUCGCCUGGAGACCUGCUCACUGCCAACGGCGCCCUUUCACUCUUUCACUCUCCCUCUCUAUCUGUCUCUCUUCCCCUGUUCCCCCUCCUCGCUGAAUUAGUAUUGAUUGUAAACACGUUCUCUGAGCAGGGACCGAUGUUACAUUAUACCAUAUGUUUAAUGCGUCCGUGAGGACAUGGCGUGCUUGCUGUUUUUGGACCAUAACACUCCCAGCCAGUCCUGGUGUUUCUGGCCCGGAUGGACUGUAGUUUUGAUGUAUUCAUUUGUCUGAUGCUGGAGUCGGAGCAGCACAUACGCAAUAUUAAACCACCAUAUGCAGCUUCAUGCAUAAUUCAACAUGUGUGAGACGUGUAAGCAUUAAAUAUGAAGCGGUCUGUGCUGUUACUUUGGGAAAAAAUAUUGUAAACAUGGAGAAAGGCAGCUAUUUAUAUGACAUACCAGACAUUAGAGCUCAUUUUCUUAGCAUAAGAAAAAAAAAACUGAUGUUGAAAAAAUGUUUACAUUAACUUUUAUACUUUAAAAAAGGUUUAUAGUGUGUGUGUGUGCAUUGGAUUGCAUUGGAAAACCAAUCAGGACUUAAAAAUAUCUCCUUUUGUGUUCCAAAAAACAUACACAUUUCUCUUUUUUGCGCUAGAAACUCAUGAGUUUUGAAAAAAUGUCAAAAUGUUCAUGUUUGGAUGAACUAUAUCUUUAAAUUUUCAGAGGGAAGUGCAUCAGGAAAAUCGCCCUGUUUACAUGUCGAAUUGCUUGAAUGUCUGAGUGUCCUGAGCGCUAUAUCUUGUGUCUUAUUUAUGCUGUAGACGGCCUUUGCGCGGCCCUCCAGUGUGAGUUCAUUCAAGCAUGUUUGUCUGUGUCUGUGUGUCUGCUGAGAGCUUGAGUCAUCAGUGUGUUAUUCUUACAGUCUGUAGUGGGUUGAUGUGUUUAUGUGUGUGUGUUAAAGCCUCCUAGACAGCACACAUGACACACAAACACACAUUCUGGUCAAGUAAUGCUAUGACCUUUUGAUGCAUUCGCACAUAAUUCGCUCGCUCGUACACACUCUUCCUCAGAGGAGGGUUGUGAAAGCGCACUGGCUCUCACAAACGUGCCGGGCAGAUCUCCUGCUACGAGGGAGGAAAAUGAAUUGAAAAUGAAGAUGAGCUGUUGGCGACUUGUUAAACGCCCACAACUCUGAGCUCCAAACUGGCCUUCUCCAAAAAAGCAUGCAAAUGCAUCUGCUCUUUAUAGCGAUUUUAUUUGAUGCAUUUUUGGAGAGUCUUUUUGCAGCUUUAUUGCUUAGACCCAGUAGAAUGGAGUCAAAUGCAAACCUGCGUUUCUCGUUUGCAAUGGAAAAAGGUUUAACUCAUUUUACCCUGCUCAAAUUAGAGAUCCUCCAGAAGAUCGAUUAUCAUAAAAAUAUUCAUUUUAAUAUUUAUUAUUUAAUUAAUAUAAAUACAAUGUGUAAUUG